rnacentral:rRNA from 1 species
AACGCGAAGAACCUUACCUACCUUUGAAUCCACAGAACCUUCUGGAGACAGAAGGGUGCCUUCGGGAGCUGUGAGACAGGUGCUGCAUGGCUGUCGUCAGCUCGUGUCGUGAGAUGUUGGGUUAAGUCCCGUAACGAGCGCAACCCUUGUCCUUAGUUGCCAACAGGUAAAGCUGGGUACUUUAAGGAGACUGCCGGUGAUAAACCGGAGGAAGGUGGGGAUGAUGUCAAGUCAUCAUGGCCCUUACAGGUAGGGCUACACACGUGCUACAAUGGCCGGUACAAAGGGAAGCGAACUCGCGAGAGGGAGCCAAUCUCAGAAAGCCGGUCGUAGUCCGGAUUGGAGUCUGCAACUCGACUCCAUGAAGCUGGAAUCGCUAGUAAUCGUGGAUCAGCACGCCACGGUGAAUACGUUCCCGGGCCUUGUACACACCGCGAGC